rnacentral:rRNA from 1 species
AGCAGCCGCGGUAAUUCCAGCUCCAAUAGCGUAUAUUAAAGUUGUUGCAGUUAAAAAGCUCGUAGUUGAAUUUCGGGGUUAGUACGCUGGUCGUGCCUUCGGUAUGUACUGGUGUUUCUGAUUCCUACCUUCUGAAGAACCGUCAUGUCAUUAAUUUGGUGUGGCGGGGAAUCAGGACUGUUACUUUGAAAAAAUUAGAGUGUUUAAAGCAGGCUCGCGCUUGAAUACAUUAGCAUGGAAUAAUGAAAUAGGACGUUCGAUCCUAUUUUGUUGGUUUCUAGGAUUGACGUAAUGAUUAAUAGGGAUAGUUGGGGGCAUUAGUAUUCAAUUGUCAGAGGUGAAAUUCUUGGAUUUAUUGAAGACUAACUACUGCGAAAGCAUUUGCCAAGGAUGUUUUCAUUAAUCAAGAACGAAAGUUAGGGGAUCGAAGACGAUCAGAUACCGUCGUAGUCUUAACCAUAAACUAUGCCGACUAGGGAUCGGAUGAUGUUAAUUUUUUAAUGACUCAUUCGGCGCCUUACG